rnacentral:rRNA from 1 species
CGAAAGUCCUUCGGGAUGAGUAAAGUGGCGCACGGGUGAGUAAUACAUGAGAACAUGCCCUCGGAUGGGGAAUAACGUUUGGAAACGAACGCUAAUACCGCAUAAUCUCGAAAGAGUAAAGGUGGCGCCGCAAGGGCUACCGUCCAAGGAUUGGCUCAUGUCCCAUUAGCUAGUUGGCGGGGUAAUGGCCCACCAAGGCAACGAUGGGUAACUGGUCUGAGAGGAUGAUCAGUCACACUGGAACUGAGACACGGUCCAGACUCCUACGGGAGGCAGCAGUAGGGAAUAUUGCACAAUGGGGGAAACCCUGAUGCAGCAACGCCGCGUGAGUGAAGAAGGCCCUUGGGUUGUAAAGCUCUUUAGCGAGGGAAGAAGGUAGAUACGGUGAAUAAUCGUGUUUGCUGACGGUACCUCGAGAAUAAGCACCGGCUAAUUUCGUGCCAGCAGCCGCGGUAAUACGAAAGGUGCAAGCGUUACUCGGAAUCACUGGGCGUAAAGCGCACGUAGGCGGACUCGUAGGUCAGUUGUGAAAUACCUGGGCUCAACCCGGGAACUGCAGCUGAAACCGCUUGUCUUGAAUACCUGAGAGGGUGGGGGAAUACCUGGUUGGAGAAGUGAAAUUCGUAGAGAUCAGGUGGAACACCGGAAGGCGAAGGCGCCUGCCUGGCAGUGUAUUGACGCUGAGGUGCGAAAGUGCGGGGAGCAAACAGGAUUAGAUACCCUGGUAGUCCGCACCGUAAACGAUGGAUACUAGGCGUUCGGAGAGUUAACCCUCUGAGUGCCAAAGUUCACACAUUAAGUAUCCCGCCUGGGAAGUACGGUCGCAAGACUAAAACUCAAAGGAAUUGACGGGGGCCCGCACAAGCGGUGGAANAAGGGGGUUUAAUUCGAAGCACGCGCA